rnacentral:siRNA from 1 species
AUAGGAAGCGGUCAAUGCCACAUC